rnacentral:lncRNA from 1 species
GGAAGAAAAGCCCUGGUGAAUGGCAAUGGAGAGAUGUUAAGAUGGUGGGAUGUGAGACAGAGCUUGAGAAGUGGAGAUGUAUUUCAUGGUCAUGGGAUUAGUGACACUCAUUAGAGUGAGAGUGUUCUACCCAUAUGACUGAAGAUCUCACUGGAAAGUUCAACAAACUAGAUUGACCUAUCCCAUUUUUGCAAAAUGAAAGUCAAUGGCCUCCUCCUUCAUUUUUGCCUGAACCUGGAGCUCCUGUGAUGGAAAUCCACAGGCUACAUGUUGGGGCUGUAUGACUGAGAUGCUUUGGGCCCAGAACUCAUGCUCAAUGACAUCUUAGUUGCUGGAUGAAGAAAACAAAGAAUAACAAAAAAGAAUGUCAAUUCUGCAAAACACAGAGGAAUGACUGAAGGAAAAGAAAAUCAAAAU